rnacentral:rRNA from 1 species
AAGGGCACCACAAGAACGCGUGGAGCAUGUGGCUUAAUUUGACUCAACGCGGGAAAUCUUACCGGGUCCGGACACACUGAGGAUUGACAGAUAUAUUUAUAUGAUAUUUUAUAUUAUAUAAGAAAGAUGCUAGUUCUUUCAUGAUUAUGUGAUAGGUGGUGCGUGGCCGUUCUUAGUUCGUGGAGUGAUCUGUCUGCUUAAUUGCGUUUCACUUUUAUAGAGAUUUAUAUUUAGUGUUAUAUUUAUUUAUAAUAUUUUUUUUAUAAACAUCUCUCAGUUGAAAGCAACGAACGUGACCGUUGUCUUUUGUUGUCUAUAUAUUUUAUAAAUAGACUUUUUUUAAUAAUCAAAACUAAAGAGACCGCUGUAUUUUCUUUUAAACCAGAGGAAGGUAACGGCAAUAACAGGUCUGUGAUGCCCUUAGAUGUUCCGGGCUGCACACGUGCUACAAUAAUUAUUGCAGUGAGCAUCUCAUAUUUUUUUACACUGUUUAUUAUUCUAAUGGUGUAUAUUUAAUUAUAUGCAUUAUUUUGAAUAUACAGUAAAGCCUACAUCGAGAGUUUAAUCUUUUUUACGUGGGUAAUCAAUUAGAAGUAAUGAAUUUCCCUUUGUAUAUUUUAUGCAGUAUUUUAUAUCCACUUUAAUUUAUUAGAGCUUGCGUAUAUAUUAUAUUUUUUGCACAUACAAUUGUCAAUUUAUAGUGGGGACAGACCAUUGUUAAUUGUUGGUCUCGGUCUUAACUAGGGAUGCCUUGUACGGGUCUUUGGUUCAACAAACCACCCGGAGUACGUCCCUGCCCUUUGUACACACCGCCCGUCGCUCUUACCGAUGAACUUCUCUGUGAGUUUCAGGGACCGACCCACUAAUAUAGGAAACUUAAACGAACAGUGUGGUUUAAAGGAAAGAGAAGUCGAACAAGGCA